CACCUACGGCCGUGUGACUGUAAAUAGCCACCCGCUAGACCCGCUUUAUCAACUGCAGAUGUGGUGCGAUUAAUUAACUCGAUGCAGCCUCUCCGCACAAGCUGCUUAACUUCAACCCAUUGCAGUUCUGGUUUACUUAGCAGAUGCGGCCCAGACUGUUACCUCCCUCUGGAGGGGCCGUCCAGGCAGAUGAAUUCAUUCGUUGGUGUUUGCAGAGCGGCAGGAAACCUAAAAAAGCAUUAGAUGUUGCCCCUAGAAGAGGAUUUCCUGAGUGGCUCUAGAUGGCCCUGAAGGUGAAAUGCAGGCCCCAGGGCCACGCUCCAACACAGCUGAGUCACAGCAUCUUGGAUGGACUCUGGGGGUCUGUAUUUUUAACAAGCUUCUCUUAUGCCCUGGAUGCCCACUAAGGGCUGAGAACCGUGUGUCCAGGUGGAAAGGCCCAGGGUCCUAUUUCCUGACAUCCUCUUAAGUGCCAGUGGCCGAGCGAGGGGAGAUCGAGCCUGUUAAAGACCUGAGCCUCCACUGCUUUACGCGAGUCGUAUUUGCUGGGGGUUCAAUGUGUGCCAGACGCUUCACCCUCCCCAGGCCCGAAUCUGCAUUCCUGUUACGCCCAUUUCACAGAUGAGGAAACUGACCUCGGGAGGCUCCGUGGGCUCCUGCAUCACACCUGUGAAAGGCGAUUCAUCUAGGCCCCUGCCUUUCUACUGAAGGCUGAGCUGACCCGUGGCCUCCCAGAAAGAACCGUGUGGGGAGUGCUUCCCACACCGGAAACAAACGUCCGACUUCACAGACAGUUCAGUCUGUGUGGUCUCCUUCGCCCUGGGCUGUAUCGGCCUGUGUUUCACCCCUGAGGGCGUCAGGUCAGACGGCAGCCCUUGGCCUGGUGUGCCAAACCCACUGGGCGGGAGACCCCAGCCUUUCUCCGCUGGUUUGGGGAUUCGGGAUCUUUUUUAAAAUUAUUCAACACUAAAGAUAAAUCAGAAGUCUGUGACCAGUUUGGGGCUUUCUGUUGAGACGUUUCUGUGUUGUUUUACGUACAAUGUGUUUCUUUUCCUUAACAUGAAUGGGAAAAUGCUGUAUGUAUCAAGCCUGCAGUCAACCUUUUCCACGUGAUGAUUUGUCUUAGGCUUCCUUCUUCAUCUGCCUGGUGGUUCUUUCUGUUUUCUUCUGCAGUUUUAAUAGUAAAGGCACACUGGAGAAGUUCAGUGAUGAGAGAGGAAGGAAGAAUAUUUCUUAAGCAUAAUUAAAGAUUAAAAAAAUGCUAUUUAUUUUGGAAUCCAAGUUUGGAAAUACUUGUUUUUUUCACUGUGGUUAAAUAUCUGUUACAUAAAAUUGGCCGCUUUAGCCAUUUUUCAGUGCACAGAUCAGUGACAUUAAGGACAUCCACGUUGUUGUGAAACCAUCGCCACCAUCCAUCUCCACACCUUUUCCUUCUUCCCCAGCCGAGCUCUGUCCCCACGGAGCACCAACUCCCCUCCCUCCCGCAGCCCAUUCUCCCUCUGUCUCCGUGAAUUUGACUCCUGUAGGGACCUCGUGUGAGCGUAAUCAUACAGUAUUUGUCCUCUUGCGCCUGGCUUGCUGCACUUAGCACCCCUUCUUCAAGGUCCUCCAAGCUACAGCACGCGUCAAACUGCCCGUCACUUUUGAGGCUCCAUAUGUACGGACGGACCACACUUUGUUUACUUGUUCAUCUGUUGAUGGACACUCGGGUUGCUUCUACCUUUGGGCUAUUAUGAAUAGGGCUGCUGUGAACAUGGGUGUGCAAAGAAUUGUUCGAGUCCCUGCUCUGAGUUCUUUUGGGUGUUUACCCAGAAGUGGAAUUGUUGCAUCACAUGGUAAUUCUAUGUUAAGCGUUUCUUUUUUUUUUGAGGAAGAUUAUCCCUGAGCUAACAUCAGUGCCAAUCUUCCUCUAUUUUGUAUGUGGGACACCACCACAGCAUGGCUUGAUGAGCGGUGCAUAGGUCUACACCUGGGAUCUGAAUCUGUGAACCCUGGGCUGCUGAAGUGGAGCACACAAAUUUAACCACUGUGCCACUGGGCUGACCCCUAUAUUAACUAUUUUUUUAACUAUUACAUAAUAUUCCAUUAUAUCUUUUGUGUGUUUAUUGGCAAUUUAAGUUCUCCUUUCUGUAAACUGCCUAAUUCUGGUAUGAUUUUUAAUGGGAUUUUAGGUGAUCUUUACAUAAUCUGGAUAUUCUUUCUUUUAUCUGUUAUAUCUAUGGCAAAUUAUACACAUUUAAAAAUAAACUUCUACAUCAUUCCAGA
rnacentral:lncRNA from 1 species